rnacentral:rRNA from 1 species
GCUGGCGGCAGGCUUAACACAUGCAAGUUGAGCGGUAGCAGAUCUAGCUUGCUAGAUGCUGACGAGCGGCGGACGGGUGAGUAACGCGUAGGAACCUGCCCAGUAGUGGGGGAUAGCCCGGGGAAACUCGGAUUAAUACCGCAUACGCUCUACGGAGGAAAGAGGGGCUUCGGCUCUCGCUAUUGGAUGGGCCUGCGUGAGAUUAGCUAGUUGGUGAGGUAAUGGCUCACCAAGGCGACGAUCUCUAGCUGGUCUGAGAGGAUGAUCAGCCACACUGGGACUGAGACACGGCCCAGACUCCUACGGGAGGCAGCAGUGGGGAAUAUUGCACAAUGGGCGCAAGCCUGUUGCAGCCAUGCCGCGUGUGUGAAGAAGGCUUUCGGGUUGUAAAGCACUUUCAGUGGGGAGGAAGGCCACGUAGUUAAUAGCUGCGAGGAUUGACGUUACCCACAGAAGAAGCACCGGCUAACUCCGUG